AUUGAACGCUGGCGGCAAGCCUAACACAUGCAAGUCGAACGAGUGGCGGACGGGUGAGUAAUGUCUGGGAAACUGCGUGAUGGAGGGGGAUAACUACUGGAAACGGUAGCUAAUACCGCAUACCAUCGGAUGUGCCCAGCUGGGAUUAGCUAGUAGGUGGGGUAAAGGCACACCUAGGCGACGACCCCUAGCUGGUCUGAGAGGAUGACCAGCCACACUCGAACUGAGACACGGUCCAGAGUCCUACGGGAGGCAGCAGUGGGGCAGAUUGCACAAUGGGCGCAAGCCUGAUGCAGCCAUGCCGCGUGUAUGAAGAAGGCCUUCGGUUUGUAAAGUACUUUCAGCGAGGAGGCGUUACCCGCAGAAGAAGCACCGGCUAACUCCGUGCCAGCAGCCGCGGUAAUAC
rnacentral:rRNA from 1 species